CCUACGGGCGGCAGCAGUGGGGAAUAUUGGGCAAUGGGCGCAAGCCUGACCCAGCAACGCCGCGUGAAGGAAGAAGGCUUUCGGGUUGUAAACUUCUUUUCUGAGGGACGAAGAAAGUGACGGUACCUCAGGAAUAAGCCACGGCUAACUACGUGCCAGCAGCCGCGGUAAUACGUAGGUGGCAAGCGUUAUCCGGAUUUAUUGGGUGUAAAGGGCGUGUAGGCGGGAAAGCAAGUCAGAUGUGAAAACUCAGGGCUCAACCCGUGAACUGCAUUUGAAACUGUUUCCCUUGAGUGUCGGAGAGGUAAUCGGAAUUCCUUGUGUAGCGGUGAAAUGCGUAGAUAUAAGGAAGAACACCAGUGGCGAAGGCGGAUUACUGGACGAUAACUGACGGUGAGGCGCGAAAGCGUGGGGAGCAAACAGGAUUAGAUACCCGUGUAGUC
rnacentral:rRNA from 1 species